rnacentral:misc_RNA from 1 species
GUGACGUUGGUGGCGCAAAAUCGCCGUACCGAUCUCCUGUUCCAACUCGGCUUCCAGCGAUUUCAUCAACCGUGCGGCCGCUUCUUCGCGGCUCAAUCCGCUAAUCUGCUGCAGCGACUGCUUCUGCUGUUCGAUGAUGGCCGUCAUUUCGGCCGAUCGCUUGUUGUAGGUUUCGAUCUGCGUGGUCAGCCGCCGCUGAGUGCUUUCCACACCCCGCUCUUGCUUGCGCAAAUCUUCCGUCUGUUGACGGAGCAGAUCUUCGGUCCGCUCCAGUUUUAACUCGCGCUUCUGCAGCGCAGCCCGAGCCGUGCUCGCCUGUUGGUCGGCUUCGGUUUUCUGCCUAAGUGCCUCUUCCUUGGCCUUGAUGGCGGAGUCGCGUAGCUGCGUUUCCGCGCGGUGCCGCGCAUCCUCCAGGAUCCGCUCCGCCUCCAUGCGCGUGUCACGACCGCGAAGGC